CAAAUCCUUCCAUGGUUCUGGCCACUUGCCCUCACAGUUUCAGCGCCCCCUGGUGCCCUAAGCACCCAGUCCUUUCAUGCAAAGGGUGGGAAAAAGCCCAUUUAUAGCACCUUUUACCGACACACCUUUUAAAGGUUUAGGAAAUAUAGCCAAUAAAGUGUUUUUUAAAUGACGGCACGAGGUGGAACGUGAAGCCGUGCGCAUGCACGGGCAACAUUGCCGUAUUGUUUCGCCUCCAUUAUUGCAACUCGCCGAUUGACGAUUUCUAUAAAAUGAAUGACCGAGUGCGCUUUAUUGGUUCUCCUGGAGCAAAUAGCCUUGUUAAAAGAGUUGCUGAGGUCCUCCAGCACCUCCUGGGAUUUUAUUCUUUUCGGAAAAGCUCCGGAACAAAAGCAAGCAACGUUUUUAUUGUCGGAUUUUAUUCCCAUUUAACAAUUACCUGCUGGAUACAAACAUUGCAAAUCAGCCCAGGAAUGGUUUAAAAUCUUCUCUAAAAGGUUACCUAAAGACCCCCCUGGGCAUGUUUUUAUGAUUAAAAACAUUCCGAACUUUGGAGCUCAGAACCUUCGCAGCCAGCCAGGAAACGUUGGAUCCAAGUCGCCUCCUGGACCUCCUCCACCGCCCCGCACCUCCAGAGAACCAAACAGACGACUGGGGCAACGAACUCCUGCAGCGCCGCUUCAGGACGUCCUGGUUGGAAAAGGCCCCGCCGCCAUCGCCGCCAGGGUUUCUGUGUGUUACCUCUGACCCAACAGCUUGUACACAGAAUAUUUAUGACCGAUCCACACGCAUGGGCGGAUAUUUCAGCAGAGUUCUGUCUUUGAGUGCCGGGUCAGGCUUAAAAACCUUUUCCUUGAGGCCGCCGCUGACUGACCUCUCCCCACCUCCGGGUUCUACACGGGCCUGCUGAUGGACUCUGAUUUCUGCUGAGUCGGUGCUCUGUAAAUAUGUCCAGAGCUUCUCGGCCUCAUCGAUCUGCGUCCCCUCCCGACUGUUUUACCGCCCAGCCAGCAGUGCUAAAGUGCUUUUACUGCUGUGAGAAAGUUCAGAUGGAAUAAAAGGGUAAAUGAGAGGGAAUGUGUGUAAAAUGUUGUGUAAAAACAACCGUGGAGUAGACGAGGACGUGGGUUCCAGUGUAGGACAGCAGCGCUCAGACCUCUUUACCCAGACGAGCAUGCCAACAUUAAUCCCUUUCCGUCUGGGAGCACUGACCUCUUUUGUCCAGUUGAUGGCUUAUUACCGGUAUUGAUUUUGGCUUUCUUUAUUUUACUGACUUCCUGCAGGGAGACGGAGGACUCACACACAUAUCAGCUGCUGUCGGCCGCCGACAACAACGCUGCAGCUUUACGCCACCAAAAGUUGCGUUGUUGUUCAGUGUUUUGCAUCACCGUGCACUCUAUUCUUGUUUUAACAGUGGAACGCGCACGUGUGUAAGGGCGCCCGUGGAUUUGGCUCGUUUAGCCGCAUGUGGUCGGUUUGUUGAUGGGAGAUUCCAUCCGCUGCAGUUGAGGUAAGACGCACAAAACAUCCUAAAAUGAGCCUCUUUUUCCUCUGUUAAGUUGAAAAGAAUUCAGAAUUAUUUCCUGAUUAGGUUCGUUUUUAAUCUGCAAGAGUUUAAGCUGAAUAGAGCUAAUUUGUUUAUACAAACAUGAAAUAAGGAGGCUAAAAUGAUGAUAGAUGAGUUGAGGGUAG
rnacentral:lncRNA from 1 species